CGAGCCUGGUGAUAGCUGGUUGUCCAGAAAAUGAAUCUAAGUUCAGCUUUAAAGAUACCAAAAAUUCAAAUAAACCCCACUGUAGCUUUAAAAGUUAGUCUAAAAAGGUACAGCCUUUUAGAAACGGAUACAACCUUGACUAGAGAGUAAAAUUUAACACUACCAUAGUAGGCCUAAAAGCAGCCAUCAAUUAAGAAAGCGUUAAAGCUCAACAACAAAAAUUAAAUAGAUUCCAACAACAAAUGAUUAACUCCUAGCCCCAAUACUGGACUAAUCUAUUAUAGAAUAGAAGCAAUAAUGUUAAUAUGAGUAACAAGAAAAAUUUUCUCCUUGCAUAAGUCUAAGUCAGUGCCUGAUAAUACUCUGACCACUAACAGUCAAUAAAAAUAAGUCCAACAAUAAGACAAUUUAUUGAUUAUACUGUUAACCCAACACAGGAGUGCAUCUAAGGAAAGAUUAAA
rnacentral:rRNA from 1 species